GUGAGGAAUAUUGCGCAAUGGAGGAAACUCUGAUGCAGCGACGCCGCGUGAGUGAUGAAGGCCUUCGGGUCGUAAAGCUCUGUCGCAGGGGAAUAACACAAUGAAGGUACCCUGUAAGAAAGGAUCGGCUAACUUCGUGCCAGCAGCCGCGGUAAGACGAGGGAUCCUAGCGUUGUUCGGAAUCAUUGGGCGUAAAGCGGAUGUAGGUGGCUAUGUAAGUCAGAUGUGAAAGCCUGGGGCUCAACCCCAGAAGUGCAUUUGAUACUGCGUAGCUUGAGUGUCGGAGAGGUUACUAGAAUUGUUGGUGUAGUGGUGAAAUACGUAGAUAUCAACAGGAAUACCGGAGGCGAAGGCGGGUAACUGGCCGAACACUGACACUGAGAUCCGAAAGCGUGGGGAUCAAACAGGAUUAGAAACCCUGGUAGUCC
rnacentral:rRNA from 1 species